GCUGGGGUCAUGGCUCAGUGGUGGAGCACUUGCCUAGCGUGUAUGAGGCCCUGGGUUCGAUUCUCAGCACAGCA
rnacentral:tRNA from 1 species